UACGUAGGGGGCAAGCGUUGUCCGGAUUUAUUGGGCGUAAAGAGCGUGUAGGCGGUUUGGUAGGUCCGCUGUGAAAACUCGAGGCUCAACCUCGAGACGCCGGUGGAAACCAUCAGGCUAGAGUCCGGAAGAGGAGAGUGGAAUUCCUGGUGUAGCGGUGAAAUGCGCAGAUAUCAGGAAGAACACCCGUGGCUAAGGCGGCUCUCUAGUACGGUACUGACGCUGAGACGCGAAAGCGUGGGGAGCGGACAGG
rnacentral:rRNA from 1 species